rnacentral:rRNA from 1 species
CCUACGGGAGGCAGCAGUAGGGAAUUUUCGUCAAUGGGCGCAAGCCUGAACGAGCGAUGCCGCGUGAGUGAAGAAGGCCUUCGGGUCGUAAAGCUCUGUUGCGGGGGAAAAAAGGCAGCAUCAGGAAAUGGGUGCUGACCGAUGGUGCCCCGCCAGAAAGUCACGGCUAACUACGUGCCAGCAGCCGCGGUAAUACGUAGGUGGCGAGCGUUAUCCGGAAUGAUUGGGCGUAAAGGGUGCGCAGGCGGUCCUGCAAGUCUGGAGUGAAACGCAUGAGCUCAACUCAUGCAUGGCUUUGGAAACUGGAGGACUGGAGUGCAGGAGAGGGCGGUGGAAUUCCAUGUGUAGCGGUGAAAUGCGUAGAUAUAUGGAAGAACACCAGUGGCGAAGGCGGCCGCCUGGCCUGUUGCUGACGCUGAGGCACGAAAGCGUGGGGAGCAAAUAGGAUUAGAUACCCUUGUAGUG